rnacentral:rRNA from 1 species
GGCGCUGUGGGAUGAACCAAACGUUCGGUUAAGGCGCCCAACGAUGAGGAGUCUCGCCGAUGAGAAACCAUGAAAGGUGUGGUCCGAUAGAGACAGCAGGACAGUGACCCUGGAAGUAGGCAUCUGCCAAGGAGUGUGUAACAACUCACCUGCCGAAUUGGCCUGCCCUGAAAAUGGAUGGCGCUGGAGCGAGCGGCCGAUACCGAACCGUCGGGGCAACAACGAGCCGCGUCUCAAUCAAGCCCCGACGAGUAGGAGGGCGCCGGGGUGAGCACGGAAGCCUGUGGCGCGAGCCAAGGUGGAGCCGCUCCGGGUGCAGAUCUUGGUGGUAGUAGCAAAUAUUCAAUUGCGAUCUUUGAAGACUGAAGUGGGGAAGGGUUCCAUGUGAACGUUGCUCGGCCAUGGGUGAGUCGGUCCUAAGUUGAAGGUUAACCCCGUCUGAAUGGCGCCUCGUUUUUAUUCUGCGCGCGCGCCUGCCUUCGAAAGGGAACCUGAUCAACAUUUCAGGGCCUGGUCUCGGAAAAGUGUCGUUGCCCUCUGGGCAGCGACGGUGCGGCAACGCAAGUUUAGUCGGCUACGUCCUCGAGGGUCGCGGGAAGAGUUUUCUUUUCUUUCUGCGGGUGCGAGUUCCCUGGAGAAGGUUGCGUUUGGUGGGGAGAAAGGGACUGCGCACGGCUAACCCCUGUACCUCAAAGCAUCGUGACGGGCUCGCGGUGUCCGACGCGCUCUCGAGGAACCUUG